AAACGUUGGGGCGCUAGGUCGUGGGUUUCCUUCCACGGGAUCCGUGCCGUAGCUAACGCAUUAAGCGCCCCGCCUGGGGAGUACGGCCGCAAGGCUAAAACUCAAAGGAAUUGACGGGGGCCCGCACAAGCGGCGGAGCAUGUGGAUUAAUUCGAUGCAACGCGAAAAACCUUACCUGGGCUUGACAUGCACUGGAUGCGGCCAGAGAUGGUUGUUCCCUUUGUGGCUGGUGUGCAGGUGGUGCAUGGUUGUCGUCAGCUCGUGUCGUGAGAUGUUGGGUUAAGUCCCGCAACGAGCGCAACCCUUGUCUCGUGUUGCCAGCAUUUGGUUGGGGACUCGCGGGAGACUGCCGGGGUUAACUCGGAGGAAGGUGGGGAUGACGUCAAAUCAUCAUGCCCCUUAUGUCCAGGGCUUCACACAUGCUACAAUGGCUGGUACAGAGAGUUGCGAUACCGUGAGGUGGGGCUAAUCUCGUAAAGCCAGUCUCAGUUCGGAUUGGAGUCUGCAACUCGACUCCAUGAAGUCGGAGUCGCUAGUAAUCGCAGAUCAGCAAUGCUGCGGUGAAUACGUUCCCGGGCCUUGUACACACCGCCCGUCACGUCAUGAAAGUUGGUAACACCCGAAGCCGGUGGCCUAAACUCGUUAGGGAGCCGUCGAAGGUGGGAUUGGCGAUUGGGACGAAGUCGUAACAAGG
rnacentral:rRNA from 1 species